UAUAUGGUCAAAUCCAGGCCAAGAGCCAGGCCCAGCACCAAGGCAGUGCUGUGGGGGGAGGCCCAGCCGGGCCCCUGAUGCACUGGGGCUAAACCUUGGAUGUCUUAAAAUGAAAACGAAACACAAACCAAACCCCUUGUUGGGCUCUCACUGCUAAUAGAUGAGGGUAUAUUUAAAUUAAUUUCCUAACCUUGUUGGCUAGUACAUGGCCUGUAUCCUGAAGCCAGACUAUCUCUUGGGCUCUCACUUGCUAAUGCAUCUCCUAAGGAGGGCUCUGCCACCCCCCAUUACAGCUCUCUCACACCACCCUCAUCCCCCCACAGGCACAGGGGGUAACACUGUGGGGCAGCUUUUCACUCGGAAGGGUGAAAUGUGUUGUAGGCCUGGGCUCCCUGUGCUGUGUGAGGGGCCCUCGCACGUCCUGGGUAAGGCCUGAGGAAGGGCAGCACCUUCCCAGAAACAGCACUGGCCAAAACACACACAACAACAAGAUUAUCUAAAGGUAAAAGCUAAUUAAACCAAAACCCCUUAUUCAUCAGGUCAAGGUACAGCAUAAACAGGGUUGGUGCAGCCUCGGUGAUCACACCUGGGUGAUCUUUGGUCAGGGUGAGGCGCUGCAGACGGGGUGUCACACACCCGGCUGAGGGCUCUGCAGGGUGCCAGGAGUGUGAUGGCUGUUUUAGGACGGAGAGAGCUUUUGGCAAACAAGCUGCCUGUUCACAGCAGAACCUGAAGGUCAACACUCACCUUGUCCCACAGCAGUGCCCGAGGCCAGGUCAUUGCUAACGCUUUUAUUUCCAUUUCAGUGACACUUUCAGGCAAUCUCAUUAUGCGUGUGUUCCCGUAUGGCAGGGAUGUGCUGUACAGCAAAGACUUCACACAGCAAACUAAAGCUGUGCUGAGUAGUGUGGCCUUGUUUGUUUAAUCUGAAAGCUUUUCUGGGAGGUGUCCCACACCAAAUAUUGGCCAGAUCCAGUGAAUCAUUCCCAUUUCUCGUUUGCUUUUCACAGCUAGUCCUGGGGACAGCCCCCUCUGCACUGAGACAGGCGACAACUGCAGGAUGAACCAUUUCCUUUAACAGUUGCAUCAGCCCCCUCUCUGAAGAAAACAUAAAGCUUCUGAAGCCAAGCCACCUUGAAAUUUGGGAAGCAGCUUUUCAAGCUGAAGUUUGUCUUUGCUGCAGCAGAGCGACCUAAAGCACUUGACUAUUACUCAUUUAGGGGGACUUUUUCCAGUUAGCAGUUGUUUCACUUUUGCUUUCUUCCUGACAGAAACUAAUCUCCCUUCUGAACGUCCAUUGUAAAAGAAACUGAGUAACAGACUGUGAAACUGCUUAGAAGAUAGAAAAUAUCUACAAAAAUACAGAAAAUAUCUACAAAAGGACUGUUCUAUCAUUGGAUGCAUUUCUUGUCUCAUUAAUUUACUGGGGGUCUGCCCAUUACAUUCUUUCCCUGGCCAACCCAUAAGAAAACACACAGAUGCUUAGAAAGGAAGUGUCUCUUCAUAGAAUCAUUUCUAAUUUUAAUAUGUUAGUUUCUAUUUGAUAAAGUAGAUGUUCCUAACAGCACAUAGAAAUGUUUAAAAAUAUUGUUAACU